CCUAGUAAAAAAGCUAGAAUUACAACAUAAGACCAGAAGACCCUGUGAAGCUUAAAUUAAACUAUUAAACCAUAUAAUAGCUAUUUUCGGUUGGGGCGACCUUGGAAAAAAAAAGAACUUCCAAACAUCAUGACUAUACCUCAUACCACAAACAGGCCAACAAGCCUAAAAUUGACCCAGCAUAGCUGACAAUUGAACCAAGUUACUCCAGGGAUAACAGCGCAAUCUUCUUCAAGAGCCCAUAUCAAAAGGAAGGUUUACGACCUCGAUGUUGGAUCAGGACAUCCUAAUGGUGCAGCCGCUAUUAAAGGUUCGUUUGUUCAACGAUUAAUA
rnacentral:rRNA from 1 species